rnacentral:sRNA from 1 species
ACUGCUUUACUUUCAAUCUUCCCUCAUUGAGGUUGGCCCGAUAAGCUCUUAAUACGUUUCAUGCUUAUCGGGCUUUUUAUU